rnacentral:lncRNA from 1 species
AAAAUCCCUAAAUCUUCUCAAAACCCAACCACAUUCCUGCAGCAUCUCACAAAAUCUCCACCAAUUUCCACAAAAUCUAAGAAAAUUCCCUCCAAAUUCUUCAAGUCUCCUCCAAAUCCCACAAAAUUCAAGAGAAAUCCUCAAAAUUCCACAAAAAUCCAACAAAAUUCCUUCCAUCUUCUCAAAACCCAAACAAACUCCUGCAACAUCUCACAAAAUCUCCACCAAUUUCCAAACAAUUCAAGAAAAAUCCCGCAAAAUUCUUCAAGUCUCGUACAAAUCCCAGAAAAAUCCCACAAAAUUCCAGAAACAUCCCACCAAAUCACCUCAAUAUCACCAAACAUUCUGGAAAAGCCUCACAAAAUUGCAGAAAAAUGCCACAAAAUUCCCUAAAUCUUCUCAAAACCCUACCAAAUUCCUGCAACAUCCCACAAAAUCUCCAACAAUUUCCACAAAAUUCAAGAAAAAUCCCUCAAAAUUCACUGAAUUUCCUCAAUAUCCCACCAAAUUCCAGAACCAUCUCACAAAAUCUCAACAAAUUUCCACUAAAUUCAAGAAAACGCUCACAAAGUUCUUGAAAGCCCCUCAAAAUUCCAGAAAAAUGCCACAAAAUUCCCUACAUCUUCUCCAAACCCAGCCACAUUCCUGCAACAUCCCACAAAAUCUCCAACAAUUUCCACAAAAUUCAAGAAAAAUCCCGCAAAAUUCUUCAAGUCUCCUCCAAAUACCACAAACAUCCCACAAACAUCCCACAAACAUCCCACAAAAUUCAAGAGAAAUCCCACAAAGUUCAAAAGAAAUCGCACAAAAUCCUGUACAAGCCCCACACAAUUCCCUAAAUCUUCUAAAAACCCAACCACAUUCCUGCAACAUCCCACAAAAUCUCUGGAAAUUUCCACAAAAUUCAAGAAGACUCUCACAAAAUACUUGAAAGCUGCUGAAAAUUCCACGAAAAUCCCACAAAAAUCCCUAAAUCUUCUCAAAUCCCAACCACAUUCCUGCAGCAUCUCACAAAAUCUCCACCAAUAUCCAAAAAAUUCAAGAAAAUUCCCUCCAAAUUCUUCAAGUCUCCUCCAAAUCCCACAAAAUUCAAGACAAAUCCUCAAAAUCCCACAAAAAUCCCACCAAAUUCCAGAACCAUCUCACAAAAUCUCAACAAAUUGCCACUAAAUUCAAGAAAACUCUCACA